rnacentral:snRNA from 1 species
GUGGUCUCUUCGGCAGCACAUAUACUAAAGUUAGAAUGAUACAGAGACGAUCAGCAUGGCCCCUGCAUAAGGAUGACACACAAUUUUGUGAAGCAUUACACAUUUUG